rnacentral:rRNA from 1 species
AAUAGAUACCCGGGUAGUCCAUGCCGUAAACGUUGGGAACUAGAUGUGGGGACCAUUCCACGGUCUCCGUGUCGCAGCUAACGCAUUAAGUUCCCCGCCUGGGGAGUACGGCCGCAAGGCUAAAACUCAAAGGAAUUGACGGGGGCCCGCACAAGCGGCGGAGCAUGCGGAUUAAUUCGAUGCAACGCGAAGAACCUUACCAAGGCUUGACAUAUACGAGAACGCCGUAGAAAUACGGAACUCUUUGGACACUCGUAUACAGGUGGUGCAUGGUUGUCGUCAGCUCGUGUCGUGAGAUGUUGGGUUAAGUCCCGCAACGAGCGCAACCCUCGUCGUAUGUUGCCAGCACGUAAUGGUGGGAACUCAUAUGAGACUGCCGGGGUCAACUCGGAGGAAGGUGGGGAUGAGGUCAAAUCAUCAUGCCCCUUAUGUCUUGGGCUUCACGCAUGCUACAAUGGCCGGUACAAAGGGCUGCAAUACCGCGAGGUGGAGCGAAUCCCAAAAAGCCGGUCUCAGUUCGGAUUGAGGU